rnacentral:sRNA from 1 species
AAAGGAGAAGAAAACUA